rnacentral:lncRNA from 1 species
UUCACUCAGAGAGAUGUUGAUAUUGUUAGGUGCAUUAUGAGUUUAAAGUCGAGAUUAUUAUUAUCCCUCUUUCUUUUAGUGAAAGGUAGGUUGAGAAAAUGAUUAAAGCGAGCAACUUAGAGUGCAAGUGCAUAUUGAGUUAGAAGGAAGUUUUUAACUUUCAGCUUUACUCUCCACACAAGUUGAAGGUUUAUUUCCAGCACUCAAUUUUAUUAUAUGCUCAAUGGAAAAAAUUAAAAUUCUCCACAAAAUAUUGCAAAACUCUCUGAAAUAAAGUCAUUGAAUACCAUAUGUUAAGUUCCUGAGACCCUUCAUCUCUUGAAUAUCAUUUCGUCUUUGCUUCCUUCAAACAUCUUGAUGUAUAUGUAGAUUCAGUGUCGGUCUAGUCUGAAUAUAAGACCUAUAUUCAAUGUCGGGCUAGUCUGAACAGAAGACCCAAUACCUAUGCAGAAUAAGUUAUUUAAUACAUUUCUUCAAGAUUGACUUACAAUGCCUUUUUUAAUGAGCAAAGGGCAGUAUCAUUAUAAGCAUGAGCGUGAUCCCAAUUCCCAAAUUACCUGAAAUACAGUAAUAAAAAGCUCUUAUUUAGUGUCACAUGAAAUGAAAAACAAAUGUCAACAGCCCGAGUAUCAUUCUAGAAAACAAAAGCUAUUGAAGUCUAACUUAGGUAAAAAAAUAUCCAUUAGCAGAAAUAGUAGUAAUUUUUCACAAUAAUAACAUCUUAGGGAGCACAUGAAUUAUGACUCAGAUAUAUAUUAGACAACAUUGACUCGGGGUGAUUUUAGAAUAAAAAGAAGUGAACUCAUAGCAUGAAUCAGACUACCCGUUGAUAUAUGGUCAUAAGAUACUUGACUGAAAAAAUCCAUUUAAAUAUUUUAUUAGAAAUUAUAACCUCAAUGAUCAAUUUGUAUCUCGCUUCUAACAUCAUAUGGCUAGUGGCGGAUCUAGGAAUUCAAGUUUGUGGGUGUUGAAUUUUUUUUGUACAUAAAAUUAAUGGGUGCUUUUGUAAAUUUUCUAUAUAACUAUACAUACUCUGCGUCGAGGUUAAUGGGUGCUCGAACGUACAUAAAAUUAAUGGGUACUUUUGUAAAUUUUUAUAUAUUUUUUCAAAUUUUCUAUAUAACUAUACAUACUCUGCGUCGAGGUUAAUGGGUACUCGAACACUCAGUUUUAAUGUAUAGAUCCGCCACUGGUCACGAAGCUUUGUAUUAUCCGAAACAGAAAGAUACAAAUCAUUAAUAUAAAAAAAGAUCCGUCCCUGCAUAUGGCAGUAGUUGCACACACACUCGAUGGAAAAGAUACUGGAGUGAGUUCUUGAUACUUAUGUUAUUGAACAAGCAUGCAGCAGAAUGAAAAGAUUAAACACAUUCAGAAACUUCUUAUCUGUUCUAACGCCAAGUUGAAUGACAAUGUACAUUCGACCAUCAAACAAGGCAAGGCAUGUGAAAAUAUCCCGGGAAACAGGGCAUGAGUGGUGGAUCCCUUUGUGAUUACAACAGAUCAACUAAUAAAAUGUAACUAUAACAGCCAGACAGUUAGUACGGGGAGUGUUGAUAGUUUAUUUUUAUUGAUAUCUCAGGUUCCUCUUCGGGUGGCUACUGAGCAGGUCUUUCUUUUUUCUGAUAAUUCUACUGGGCAGGUCUCUGUUUACAUGCUUAACCCAAAAGCUUCCAUUUCAUCAAUAUUUUUUUAAGGUAGCUUUUAUUAGGAAGCUUCAAAAAAGUACCAAAGGGAUAUUUUCAAAGCACAAGCAAAACAUCAUAAGAAAAAAUUACAAAUAAAGAUUCUACAACUUCAUAAAAUCCAACAGCUGCACCAAGUCUACUACUACCCUUUCAUUACACCAAAAGUAUAGAUUCUGUAAAUAAUUAUUUUUCAGCGUAGGAAUCUGGGUAAAAGAUCUUCAAAGCAUCUUUUAUUCCUUUCUAGCCAAAUGGUCCACAUCAUGCAUAAGGGAAGGGUCAUCCACAUCUUUUCUUCCUGUUGCCUAUUGAUUAACCCUACUAACUUUCCAGCAGGCUUCUAACACUGUUUGGCAUUGCCCACUUCACAUCAUAGAUAUUAAGGAAUAGGUCCCAAAAGAUCUGCCGGCAAUGAAGAAACAAAUGAUUUACAGACUCCAGGCUUUCUUCACAGUAAAAAUAUCUACUGCAUAAGGAAAAAUCUCUUCUUUAUAGCAUAUCUUGGGUAAGACAUCUAUUCUAGGCUAUAGUACAUCCAAAUCCAGCAACUUUUGUUGAUUCUUUGGUCUUCCAAAGCAUCUUCCAUGGUCAUGAUUCCUCCCGCUUCCAAAGCCUCCAUUUCAUCAAUGUUAAACUCUCCUAAUAUAUAAAGUUUUACCUCUUUUUGAAAAAUCCCUGUCUUCGGACCUUUCCUCUACUCUCCCCUCUUCUUCACUAAGCCUCUCAAUUAACCCCCUCAACGCCUCCUUUUGUAAACUUUGAUCUCUUUUAUUUUCCUUAAUUAAACCCACAUUUACCUUCAUGUUAGUCUAAUAAUUAGGGAAAAUAUCCUUGUUUAUUUAGUUCAUCACUACUCAUAUUUGUCCAUAUCAUCUAACACUUUCUAUGUUCUAUUGCGUAGCAUCCUUCAUUGGUCAUGCUUAAAUAUUUUACUAUCCUAUUCAAUCGAGUUUAUGACCCCUUUGUUAGAACAAACAACGUUCUAAAGUAACUUAUGAUUAUUAACAAUUUUUAUAAGUAAAAAACAAAGAGGAAGAAAAUAAAGUUCAAAUAAAUGAAUUCCUGAAAAAGCACAUAGCUUAAGACAUACAAAGUUAAGCAAAUUAAUCUAUACGUGCCAUAUACAUGAAUGUCACAUUGAAAACAUAAAACAGAAUUAAGAAAUAAGCAAUAAUCAACGAACUCCAAAUGAAUACAAUUUGUUCCAAACGGGGACCAAAUGAAAGAUGGAAUCAACUGUAAAAAUAAUUUCCUACGAAAUUCCGAAUUAACUCCAAAAAUAAGGUAGCGAAUACAAUUAACUUUUGACCGAAUGUGAACCUAUUUAACCUCAAAGUCAUACAACAGAAUCUUAAAAUGGAUCAUGUCAGCUGAAUACAUUCCAGAUUCUACUCAAAAGAUCGACUUUACAAAAAGAAUCAAUCUCAUAAUCUAAUUUGAGUAACGUACAAACCACAAUAAUUUGAAAUUAAGAUAUAUGAACAAGAGUAAGAAGAAAAGACAAAAACCUGGAAAAUGAAACUGAUAAUGGUUUACCUGAGUUAAUGUCCUGCCAUGGGCAUAAUAAGAAGAUCAACGGUACAAGUUUUCUCAUACUAUACUCUGUAUCGCCCUAGUGGGAUCUUGAAAUAGAGUGUCUGACAUAUUCCUUCACUUGAUUCUCUCAAUCCUAUAUAGCAGAGGUAGUUGGUAACGCUUGAGAGAAACUGAGAAAGAGCAGCAAACAAGGGAAAUUUAACAAUCUCGAUGCAGAGUUGGUCGGCCAAAUAAAAGGAUAUGAACGAAAUUACAAAAGCAAACUACAGAAGAAAUUGAUCUAUGUGCAGAAUAAAUUAUAAAAACCUAAAGGCAAAACAAAAAAAUGGAAGAAUAAAACUCACUCCAUAACUAUAACAGUGUCUAACUAUAAAAUCAUAUACGGUGAGAUGGAGAAGUAGUCCUUCAAAAUUUCAGAAAGAUAAGAACAAAAGAAGUUAUCGGAGACCGUUCAUUUUUAGUCGUGGAAUAAGCUUAGCGCAAAGCCAUAAAUCGUUUCAAUGUCAAAAAGAACAACACAUGCGGCAAUCAAAUUGUUUGGUGCCAUCAGAAUUGGAUCUUAGUUCAGUCGGAGAACUCGUCGAGGAAGGAACAAAGCUGGAUCGGAAGACGAAUGCAGAAGCAGAUGGAGAAGGGCAAAAAUGUAAUAUCCCGUGCAUGUGAAUCCCGUCAUAUCCUUGAAGCAGAUCUUUGAGUGACUCAUGCGAAACUUAAUAUAAGCAAAUUUACGAAUUUGCCUUGGCCGG